ACCACAUGACAGGAUAGAAACUCUAACAAGAGUGUAUAUGAGUGUCUCACUCCUCGAACACAAACUGGAUUUCUUCAAGUGGGGAUCACAAGUCAGAUAUGAAGAUGUUUUGUAGUCAACUGUUUGUUUUGAUUUGUUUGUGUGCUGCAGUACAGCCGUCCAGUCAAACAGAAUAUAACAAGACGUCUGAUGGCUGGAUUCAGUACAAUGGCAGUCAGUAUUUAAUAAAUAAUGAACCGCACCCUAUGGAAGAAGCUCGUGACAUCUGUAAGAAGAAUCAUGCUGAUCUUGCUGUCAUUAAUGGUCAGACUGAGAGGAGGUUUUUAUUUAAACAGAUAUCUAGAACUGCAAUAUCACAAACUCAGUACUACAUUGGGAUGACUGUAGAGUUGGACAAAUCAUUUAGUUGGGUGGACGGUUCACCUGUUGUAUACACUGCAUGGGCACAAAAUGAACCAAGUUUCUCCAACAAUGAUGAGAACUGUGUGACCGUUUUGAAAAGCUCAGGAUUCUGGAAUGAUAUUAAUUGUGGUUAUUCGUUACCAUCGAUCUGUAAAAGAAGUGCUGAUUUUGUCAACACCACCAUGUCUCCAACCACUGUACCAGCGAGCGGCUGCGCUCCUGAAUGGACUCUGUUCAGAGGAAAAUGUUACAAGCUUUUUGAUAAUAAAAUGUCAUGGCGACAAUCACGAGAUCACUGCAUUUCAAAUGGCAGCAAUCUGGUGUCCGUUCGGAGUCACACAGAGCAAUUUUUUAUCACAACUUUAAUGGUAAGUGCUGUUGAUGACGUGUGGAUCGGUUUAAAUGACAUUGUCUCAGAGAAAAACUUUAUGUGGACCGACAAUCGAGCUGUCAGAUACACAAACUGGCUUAAAGGUGAACCUUCAGAGUUAGGUGGAAUGGAGGAAUUCUUUAGGAGGAGACAUAUUAAACUUUGGUACCAACGUCCAUUUUUACACCACAGAAUGGAAUAUAUGGACUGUGUUGUGAUGGUUAAACACCCAGAGAGGUUCACUGGUAAGUGGAAAGUUGGAGCCUGUAAAGAUGAGAGAGGUUUCAUCUGCAAGAGGAACACAGACUCUCAGCUGUCCGCUCCCGUAACCACAGCAGUACCACAGAAAUAUUCCAGUCUGGGCAAUGAUUCAUAUAAGGUCCAGCUGGAGAAGAUGAGCUGGGAUGAAGCGAGAAGACAGUGUAAAGCUGAUGAUGCUGAUCUUGCAAGUGUACUGAACUCCAUCAGUCAGGCGUACACCAGCCUACAAGUCGACAAACUCAAAGAACCUUUGUGGAUCGGACUCAACAGUAACCUGACGCUUGGACUCUAUCGCUGGGUGGAUAACUGGUUUCUGAGCUACAGUAAAUGGGCUACAGGAGAACCCAAAAACAAUUUAGCUUGUGUUUAUAUUGACACGGAUGGAGACUGGAAAACUGCAGCGUGUAACAACACAUAUUAUUCCCUCUGUAAACGAUCAACAGUUUUUGCCCCUACAGAUCCUCCUCAGCUGCCGGGUAACUGCCCCGAAUCAGAUCACAGGAACAGUUGGAUCCCAUUUAGAGGACACUGCUAUACGUUCAUGACCUCCACGAGUGACAUCUGGGUUCAUGCCACAGUAGAAUGUAUAAGAAUCGGUGCAUCUUUAGUGAGUAUUGAGGAUCCAAUAGAAUCACAGUUUAUCCGACAAAACCUGGAGAUCGUGCAGGAUGAAGUCAAGUCAGUCUGGAUUGGACUUCACCCCAGUCAUAUGGGUGAUUGGAUGUGGAUUGAUAAUACGGUUGUGGAAUACACAAACUGGAAACCGGAGAUGCCAGAUGAUGUUAAAAAAUGUGUUGAAGUUCAGUCAGACACUGGGAUGUGGAGCACCAGCAGCUGUAAUGAUCGCAGAGGUUAUAUCUGCAAGACUGCUAAAGUUAUACCACCAGCAGAGAAGCCAUCAGUCUCAGGAAACACAAAGGUCAGAGUCUCUUGCGAAUCAGUAAUUUAUUAGAAGAGAAGAUAGAGAGGUAGAAAAAUCACUCCACAGUUCACGGCACCUCAACUAGUCCACACACACACAGAAGGAAACAAUCCAACGACGUAAUCCUCUCGCAGAUGGAAUCAGAGUCUCAGCCGGGAAACCGGAAUGCAGGUGUACUGCUUAAAGGCGAAGCGAACCUGAAGAGUCGGAGAACCGAAGCAAAUCCCACGACGUAAUCCACUCGUGGAUGAACAGGAGUCUUUAGCAGGAAACCGGAAAUACAGGUGUACCGCUUGAAGGCGAAGCAAACCUGUAGAACCGGGGAACAGGAUCAACGUGCAUACAAACUUAGUCCACAGCCGAAACACAGGAUGUCAGACUCCAGCGCGGAGCAAACCCUCAGACGCCGGUGACUGAACCUGGAGCGAGAGUAGAUAAAGGUGAAGCAGAUACAAACGAGUUGUUGGAACCAUGGACAGCGAGCGUGGCAGAGAUCAAGUAACAAUGAGCGCGUGACAAAGACAGAACAAAAGGGCUAUAAAUAGAAAGGCAGAAACGAGACACAGCUGGAGGAUAAUUAGUGAAACAAGAGGGAGGAGUGAGUGCACACGAGAGGAUCCAUCACCAACAGUUACACCUACAACAGCGAAGUCAUCAGUCCCAGAUCUUCAGGUAUCGGCUGGCAUCGCUGUAGGAGUCGUGUUGGUCAUAAUUGCUGUCACAGGUCUUGCCGGGUUUCUGUUCUUUAAGAGAAAUCCCAGGACUC